rnacentral:tRNA from 1 species
GGGCGGGUGGCGAAGUGGCUAACGCUGUGGUCUGCAAAAUCACCAUUCACCGGUUCAAAUCCGGUCCCGCCCUCCA